CAAAACACAACCAUGAAACUCCUCAAAAUCCCACUUGAAACCAACGUGAAAAUCAGCCAACAGGCGGCUGAAAAUCAGCGGCAAAAUUGCUGAAAAAACCAGUCCAGCAACGUCGGGAAAGCACUUACAAAUUUGGUCUGUCGAGGACUUCCGUUCGCGGUUUCCGGAUGAGGUCCCAAAUUGAUUCGUGUUCCAAUUUUAUGGCUCUACACCAGCUACUUUGAGAUUUUGGAUGGUGACGUUGCAGUGUAUGGCGGAAGUUGGCAUUGAAGACGUACCUGUAUUCCGGUUGUAGCUGCCUCUUAUUCUUGGUAGCUUUAAAUUUAUUAAUUUGUUCAUGUACAUUUCGAACAGAUGAUGUAUUUACUUCGUACCGGCUUUCUAAACUCUAAGUCUUAGAAGCUCAUGAUUUGUACUUCUUGUCCUUAUAAAGUUCUAUAAAGUCUAGUUAUUUCAUCA